rnacentral:rRNA from 1 species
AGAUACCCUGGUAGUCCACGCCGUAAACGAUGUCGACUUGGAGGUUGUGCCCUUGAGGCGUGGCUUCCGGAGCUAACGCGUUAAGUCGACCGCCUGGGGAGUACGGCCGCAAGGUUAAAACUCAAAUGAAUUGACGGGGGCCCGCACAAGCGGUGGAGCAUGUGGUUUAAUUCGAUGCAACGCGAAGAACCUUACCUGGUCUUGACAUCCACAGAACUUUCAGAGAUGGAUUGUGCCUUCGGGAACUGUGAGACAGGUGCUGCAUGGCUGUCGUCAGCUCGUGUUGUGAAAUGUUGGGUUAAGUCCCGCAACGAGCGCAACCCUUAUCCUUUGUUGCCAGCGGUCCGGCCGGGAACUCAAAGGAGACUGCCAGUGAUAAACUGGAGGAAGGUGGGGAUGACGUCAAGUCAUCAUGGCCCUUACGACCAGGGCUACACACGUGCUACAAUGGCGCAUACAAAGAGAAGCGACCUCGCGAGAGCAAGCGGACCUCAUAAAGUGCGUCGUAGUCCGGAUUGGAGUCUGCAACUCGACUCCAUGAAGUCGGAAUCGCUAGUAAUCGUGGAUCAGAAUGCCACGGUGAAUACGUUCCCGGGCCUUGUACACACCGCCCGUCACACCAUGGGAGUGGGUUGCAAAAGAAGUAGGUAGCUUAACCUUCGGGAGGGCGCUUACCACUUUGUGAUUCAUGACUGGGGUGAAGUCGUAACAAGGUAACCGUAGGGGAACCUGCGGUUGGAUCACC